AGAUGGACAAAGUCUUUCCACCAGUAAUCAGCACUUGCACUCUGAGGACUGACUCUUACCAGCUGGGGAGCAAACAGGCCAGCUGGAGACCGAGAUGACAGAAGGCAGGCACUGCCAGGUGCACCUCCUGGAUGAUAGGAGACUGGAGCUGCUGGUUCAGCCCAAACUUCUAGCAAGAGAGUUGCUGGACCUAGUGGCUUCACAUUUCAACCUGAAAGAAAAGGAGUAUUUUGGAAUAACAUUCAUAGAUGACACGCCAAGAGGAGAAACGGAAAAAUAGAUGGCAAUUACGCAAUAAAAGCAGUGAUGAUGACCAACAACCACAGAUUCAAGGUCACGUUACUGGGAGAGGGAUAGCAUUUCUGAGAUUACGCUUGUUAGGGCCUUGCGCAGCUCUGUGUGCAAAGUUAGUCUUUCACCCCUAGAGGGCAGUCACGGCCCUCCUGAGGCACCAGUCCUUCAGGUCACCGUAGUGGUUCCAUCUCUUCACCCAUUUCACUUUUUGUUUUGCCUUCUCAUGUUUUGAAAGGCUUUGCUAAAUAAGCUUUGUUUACCAAGAAAUAACAGAUAG
rnacentral:lncRNA from 1 species